CCUCUCUGACUCACUGAGUCAACCCCUUAACUCGGCAAGACCACUCGCUGAGUGGUUAAGGACAAUCUUCAUGCUACUCGCCGAGUCUGUUCUUCAGACUCGGCGAGUCCAUGCCAUGCAUCAACUCAAAUUCGCUCCUAAGGUCAGAUCCGCUCCAUUAACUCAUAGAUCCAGUCCUUCCAAGCACAUUCAUCAUGUAAAGUCACAAUCUUGGCUACCAUGCAACGCUUACAAGGCUCCUUUUAGUGAAAUGACCUCUAAAAUGGUAACCUAAAUCCCUAACUCAAAAGAAAAGGCAUAAAGCAGGGCAUUUGGGAGUCUCUAGACCUAAUAAGGUCCAUAUCUAGGUACCAUUUCACCAAGGGACCUCUCACACAUACAAGGCAAACAAGGCAUAUAGAAACCCUAGAUUUGGCCAUAUCAACAAAAACAUGAGAAUAAGCUCUGAAUGUUACCUCAAAAAGCUUCCUCUGCUGAAAUAGAAGUAGUCCAANCUUCCUCUGCUGAAAUAGAAGUAGAUCCAAGCUCCCCAACUCUCCUAGCUUGGCCUUCCUCUUCCUUUCUUGCAAACACACACAAAGAUGGUGAAUAAUAGCCUCUUUUCUCACUCACAAGGACUCUUAAUUGCUCUGGUGCUCUCAAGGUCGAAGGUAGCCGCAAUAAAGGGUUAUAAGGCCCUUUAAAUAGGGCUUAGGGCCAGGAAAUUAGGGUUUCAUUAAACAGCAUGGACUCGCCGAGUCCGGCCGUGAACCCGCGUCGAAUUCCGCGAUCAUACUCGGCGAGUUCUAGGCUCCAACUCGCCGAGUCCACUUACAAAUUACAAGAAAAAUAAUGAUUAAUUAAUACCUGGGAAUCCGGCUGUUACAAUUCUCCCCCACUAGAACUAGACUUCACCCUCGAAGUCUUGCUCUGCAAAUAACUCUAGAUGCUGCUCACGCAUCUCGCGCUCCGGUUCCCAAGUCAUUUCGGACCCCUUCCGAUGCUGCCACUGAACCAAAACCAGGGGUACCUCCUUGUUCCUCAGAACCUUGAUUUUCCGAUCUCUGAUGGCCACUAGUCUCUAAGCAUAAUUCAGGCUUGCAUCCACCUGAAUAUCCUCUAAUGGAACCACUGCCGACUCAUCGGCUAUACACUUCCGCAGCUGCGACACAUAGAAAGUGUCGUGAAUCUGCCCCAACUCUGCUGGCAAAUCUAAACGGUAAGCUACCCGGCCUACCCUUGUGAUCACUCGGAAUGGACCAAUAUAUCGGGGCCCCAACUUGCCCCUCUUCCUGAAUCGGAUCACUCCUUUCGAAGGAGAGACCUUCAGGAGCACAAAGUUGCCGACCUGAAACUCAAGCUCGGACAGGUGUCUGUCCGCAUAACUCUUCUGAUGACUCUGAGCGGUCAACAACCUCUGUCUGACCUGCUGGCUCUGCUCUGUCGUCUGAAGCACUAUCUCUAUACUGCCCAUCACACGCUGUCCCACCUCUCUCCAGCAAAUGGAGGUCCUGCACCUCCUCCCAUACAACAGCUCAAAGGGCGGCAUACCAAUGCUCGAAUGAUGGCUGUUGUUGUAGGAAAACUCUGCCAAGGGAAAGUACGUAUCCCAACUCCCCCCUGAAAUCCAACAUACAUGCCCGAAGCAUAUCCUCGAGCGUCUGAAUCUUCCGCUCAUUCUGUCCGUCUGUCUGGGGAUGAUAUUUGGCUACCAUGCAACGCUUACAAGGAUCCUUUUAGUGAAAUGACCUCUAAAAUGGUAACCUAAAUCCCCAACUCAAAAGAAAAGGCAUAAAGCAGGGCAUUUGGGAAUCUCUGGACAUAAUAAGGUCCAGAUCUAGGUAACAUUUCCCCAAGGGACCUCUCACACUCCAAAUACAAGGCGAACAAGGCAUAUAGAAACCCUAGAUUUGGCCAUAUCAACAAAAACACGAGAAUAAGCUCUGAAUGUUACCUCAAAAAGCUUCCUCUGCUGAAAUAGAAGUAGAUCCAAGCUCCCCAACUCUCCUAGCUUGGCCUUCCUCUUCCUUUCUUGCAAACACACAC
rnacentral:lncRNA from 1 species